rnacentral:rRNA from 1 species
GGGUGGUAAUGCCGGAUGCUCCAGUUGAUCGCAUGGUCUUCUGGGAAAGCUUUCGCGGUAUGGGAUGGGGUCGCGUCCUAUCAGCUUGACGGCGGGGUAACGGCCCACCGUGGCUUCGACGGGUAGCCGGCCUGAGAGGGCGACCGGCCACAUUGGGACUGAGAUACGGCCCAGACUCCUACGGGAGGCAGCAGUGGGGAAUAUUGCACAAUGGGCGCAAGCCUGAUGCAGCGACGCCGCGUGAGGGAUGGAGGCCUUCGGGUUGUAAACCUCUUUUAUCGGGGAGCAAGCGAGAGUGAGUUUACCCGUUGAAUAAGCACCGGCUAACUACGUGCCAGCAGCCGCGGUAAUACGUAGGGUGCAAGCGUUAUCCGGAAUUAUUGGGCGUAAAGGGCUCGUAGGCGGUUCGUCGCGUCCGGUGUGAAAGUCCAUCGCUUAACGGUGGAUCCGCGCCGGGUACGGGCGGGCUUGAGUGCGGUAGGGGAGACUGGAAUUCCCGGUGUAACGGUGGAAUGUGUAGAUAUCGGAAAAAAAAAC